rnacentral:sRNA from 1 species
GGCGAGAAACUAUCAUUGCUUUAAAAUAGAAAAGGAAAUAGAGAGAGGGAGAGAGAGAGAGAGGGAGGUGAGAGGAUUUUUGAAGACAGAACGCACUGUACACUCUUUCCCGAAUUAUUGACUGGAUUUGGAAUCACUACGAGAAGCGUCUACAGUUCGUCCACGGCGUGCAGACGAUGGCAAGGGAGAUAGAUGGAAAUGAGCCGCUGAGGGGGAAGAGCUUUUUGAUUGAGGUUGACGAUCUAUGACUGGGAAGCAAUUGGUCAUCAUGCCAUCUGAAAGGGAGCAGCUUGGAAGGAUGUUAGCAUUGAUACAGUUGCGAGGCUUUUUUUUUUUUGCCCAGCAGUCAGAGCUGUUUGCUCCAGACAACAUGAGGUUGGCGGAACCCUUCUGUUUGUCAAUUAGUUCAGUAACCUGAGUUGUUUUAGUAGGGGGUUUCGCAAUCUGGAUUGCGACCAACAAUCCAUGGCGGGACUGUAGAUAUAAUAUUUCACAUCCCUAUCUUUACCCCUCAAAUUCAACCAGCA